rnacentral:rRNA from 1 species
GACGAACGCUGGCGGCGGGCUUAACACAUGCAAGUCGAACGGAAAGGCCCGGCUUUUGUGGGGUGGUCGGGUGGCGAACGGGUGAGUAACCCGUGAGUAACCUGCCCCUGACUUUGGGAUAACUUCAGGAAACUGGGGCUCAUACCGGGUAGGAGCUCCUGCUACUUGGUGGGGGUGGGACAGUUUCGGCGGUUGGGGAUGGACUCGCGGCCUAUCAGCUUGUUGGUGGGGUAGUGGAAUACCAAGGCCUGGACGGGUAGCCGGCCUGAGCGGGUAACCGGCCCAAUCAGGACUGAGCUGAGGCACGGCCUCCAACGGGAGGCAGCACAGGAGUGUAGUAUCUAGCGGGCGGAACCCUGAUGCGGCAACGCCGCGUGGGGUAUAACGGGCAUGGCUUAGUAUUCCACUUUUGUCUGUGACGAGGCGUUAAUGACGGUACUCGGUAAAGAAGCCCCGGCUAACUUCGUG